ensembl:lncRNA
CUUUCGUUUUUUUCACCAAUGACUAAUACCUCUGUUUUAUCUUGGUUUAGCUGGAGAAAGUUUUGUGACAUCCAUACAUUUAUAUCAGAAAUGCAAUUUACCAAACAAUCAAUAGAGCUGUAGUUGUUGGGUGUUACAGAAAUAUAGAGCUGGGUGUCAUAUGCAUAGCUAUGAUAGUCGAUGUUGUGCCUCCUAAUUACACUACCAAGGGGUAGCAUGUAUAGACUGAAAAGUAAGGGCCCUAAAAUGGAUCCUUGAGGGACCCCACAGGUCAUACAAAUGUUUUUUGAGCUGUGGUCUCCGAGGGCGACAAAGUAUUCCCGGCCAGUUAGAUAGGUCCUAAACCAGUUUAGGACCGGACCAGUGAGGCCAACCCAAUUUUCAAGUCUAUCAAUAAGGAUAUUGUGAUCAACAGUAUCAAAGGCUGCGCUCAGAUCCAGAAGGGCCAAGACAGAUAGUUUUUUGGAGUCAGCAUUAAUCCUGAGAUAAUUUACAACCUUGACUAAUGCCGUUUCUGUGCUAUGAUUGGAACGAAAACCAGAUUGGAAGGUGUCAAAUGCACAGUUAGCAUCUAGGAAACUAUUUAACUGUUUAAAGACAAUUUUUCCAGGAUUUUGCUUAGAAAGGGAAGGUUAGAGAUGGGUCUAAAAUUAUUUAGAACUGAAGAGUCUAAAUUGCUUUUCUUCAGGAGGGGUCUCACCAGGGCAGUUUUAAGUUCUGAUGGGAAAAUACCUGUAAGCAGGGAACAGUUUAUAAUGGCUAGCGCUAGGACAAAAGGUGAGUUUAAAAGAAAAAAAGGAAGCUUGAGAGGCUAUUCUUGGUAAUUUUACUUGGAGUAUUUAAUGACCUGGUUUAUCUUUACUAGGCUAUUUUAUCAUCACAUCUUACUAUUGUCCAUAUUUGUUUAUUUGUGUUUCCUGGUAUAGUGCAAAGAGAAAUGAGCUUUACAAAGAGUUUGUGGAGUUCACAGACACAGACAAACUUAAGCUGCUCAGAUACUGCACAACGCGAUGGCUCAGCCUCCACACGUGCAUUCAAAGAAUGUUAAAUCAGUGGCCAGCUCUUCAGGCCUACUUCAACAGCUAUGAGGAUGAGACGAGUGUUAAAGUUAGGGAUCUGGCAGACUACCUCAAUGAUCCUGAGAUCAAAUUCGAUUUCCUGUUUCUGAGUGCUGCUCUCAAGCCAUUGGUUACAUUCAACACUGCCUUCCAGGGAGAGGGGGUGCUGAUACACAAACUACACAAUGAAAUGACAAGACUGGUGAAGAGGUAUUUGGGCUACAUUCUCCCAGCAAGAUUAAUUGCAAAUAUUCCAGUCAGAGAGGUGUCACUCAGUCAGGAACACCAGCUGAAAAAUGAGGAUCUCUUCAUUGGAGCUGAGGCCAG